rnacentral:rRNA from 1 species
GAUGAACGCUGGCGGCGUGCCUAAUACAUGCAAGUCGAGCGAACGGACGAGAAGCUUGCUUCUCUGAUGUUAGCGGCGGACGGGUGAGUAACACGUGGAUAACCUACCUAUAAGACUGGGAUAACUUCGGGAAACCGGAGCUAAUACCGGAUAAUAUUUUGAACCGCAUGGUUCAAAAGUGAAAGACGGUCUUGCUGUCACUUAUAGAUGGAUCCGCGCUGCAUUAGCUAGUUGGUAAGUUAACGGCUUACCAAGGCAACGAUGGAUAGCCGACGUGGGCGGGUGAUCGGCCACACUGGAACUGAGACACGGUCCAGACUCCUACGGGAGGCAGCAGUAGGGAAUCUUCCGCAAUGGGCGAAAGCCUGACGGAGCAACGCCGCGUGAGUGAUGAAGGUCUUCGGAUCGUAAAACUCUGUUAUUAGGGAAGAACAUAUGUGUAAGUAACUGUGCACAUCUUGACGGUACCUAAUCAGAAAGCCACGGCUAACUACGUG